rnacentral:lncRNA from 1 species
ACAUAUCUAGGUCUGCCUAAUUUGAUUAGGAGGAAAAAGAAAACUUCUUUCCAAAAGAUAAAGGACAAGAUAAAGAAGAGAAUUGACAGAUGGAGUUCUAGGUUGUUGUCACUGUAAGGAAAAUAGGUUUUUAUUAAAUCAGUUUUGCAAGUAAUUCCAACUUACUCAAUGAUGUGCUUUCUUUUUCCAAAAACUCUAUGCGAGGAAAUGGAAUCAAUUAUUGCAAGUUACUGGUGGUAGAAUGAUAGAGGUCGAAAAGGUAUUCACUGGUGUAGUUGGAAAACCAUCUGUAAGCUGAAGUCUGACGGUGGGUUGGGCUUUCGGGAUAUGGCAAAGUUUAAUGUGGCUCUACUUGCUAAGCAGGGUUGGCGAUUAUUUGAGUAUCCAGAUUCAUUAGUAGCACAAGUUUUAAAAGCGAAGUAUUACCUGAACGCGAGUUUUCUACAAGUAGGACUGGGACACAGACCUUCAUAUACGUGGAAAAGUAUUUGGGCAGCAAAAGGGCUUAUCAAAGAAGGUUUGGGGUGGAGAGUUGGAAAUGGGGCGAGUAUUUUAAUUAAUGAUGAUGCAUGGCUGCCAGGGGCAGUUAACAACAGAAUUCGUUAUCCUACUUCUAAUGAUGCUAUUACUACUGUUGCAACGUUAAUUGCUGAUAAUAGUAGGGAAUGGAAGGAAGAACUAAUUCGCAAUACCUUCGAGGCAACUGAUGCGGAUAGAGUUCUGCGGAUCCCGCUGGGGUUAGACGAGCAUGCAGAUAUGGUCAUUGGCGUGGAGAGCCCUAGGGUAAGUUCACUGUUCGUAGUGAUUAUCGACUAUUACAGACUCAAGAUUAUACAUCAGAUUAUAAUGCUACAUAAAAUACAACAAAACUUUUCUACAAAAAUCUUUGGAUAGUUCAACUACCAAAUAAAAUUAAAAUUAUGCUAUAGAGGGCUGCUCGAAAUUAUAUUCCUACGAUGGUCAAUCUAUAUCAGCGAAGAGUGGCCCGUGCUGAUAUGUGUCCCAGAUGCAAAGUUUAUUCUGAGAAUUUGUGGCAUGUUUUUGUUGGAUGUUCUGUGGCAACAGAGUUAUGGAAUGGAUUAGAUCUUGCAUGGAUAAAUCAAAGAAACCCAGAGAAUGGCUUGAUUGGCUUACAUGGAUCUUUCAUAAAUGCGGUGAAACUCAGCGUCGGUUAUUUGUCUGUGGAAUAUGGGUCUUAUGGCGUGACAGAAACAGAAACCUGCAUGAGGGGAAGUCAUAUACAUGGGAAGAUAUAGCAAAAUAUGUUCACUAUUAUAUCGGUGAAUUGAUGGUUUGAAUGGGGAACAACUAAAAAAAUUUCAGGACAUUGAAAAUUGGAAAGCCUCAGAGAAUCCAAUAAUUAAAAUCAAUUUUGAUGCCUUGUUCGAUAGCACAACUUACAGAUCGGUAUCGGGGAUAGUGGCGAGAUCUGAAAAUGGGGAGGUUGAAAUUUCUAAAUCUCACAUGCACCUAGCGGUAGAUACGGCUUUUGACGUAGAGGCAAUUGCCUACUAUGACGCUGUCCUUACUGGCUUAGAAAUGGGCUACACAAAGGUUGUUAUUAAGGGCGACUCCAAGUCCAUCAUAACCAAAUGCAUGGUGCAAUCAGUGGACAAAUCGCAAGUUAGUGCACAUAUUCGAAAUAUUCAAAGAGAAAAAAGCAAAUUUCAGAUCAUUACUUUCCGUUAUGCUCCCAGAUCGGCUAAUUGCUUAGCCCACAUCAUUGCGACAACAUGCUUGAAGGAAAUGAAGAUGAUUUACCUUCAUGGAGUGGUCCCUGGAUACGCCAACCGUCAAUGGCUACUGGAACACCCACGAGAAUCGAACUGAAACAACGAAAAGGAAAACGGAAAAGGGGUAGUUGAGAGGGUCCCUAAUAAAAUCUCUCAGGCUUUCUCCAGUGCAAAUGAAAAUGAAAAGAUAUUUGGGCAAAUGACAGCUGGAGACAGGCAUUCAUAACGGAUGGGGAUUUCAAG